CAUAGAGAAGAGAUAAAACAUGGCUUUAAUUCCCAAGUUCAUUUAUAUUAUCAUUACUUUUAUUUACUUAUUUUUUAUGGUAAUCAACGGCAGUAAGUUAUUUUCAAACUACUUUCAAUUUUUUCUUAUUUAAUUUGUAUUUAAUUCUUAAUCAUUUUUAGUGACUUUGAUUCUUAUUUAACAUUGCAGUUCAAUUUCCUUCGGCUCAAUUUCCCUGCAAUGAUGCGAGUGAUUGUCCAAGAGAUUUGUGUAUCCGCAAUAGUCUAACUAUAAAGUGCGUUAACUAUACUUGUGAGUGUGUAUAAACUUUACAAUUAUAUUGAAAAUAAGUCUAUAUUAUACUUUCUAAGCAUAUAAAUAUAUUUUUACGUUAUGCUAAAAAAAUAUACUUUCUAAGCAUAUAAAUAUAUUUUUACGUUAUGCUAAAAAAAAAAUAUAUAUUAAAUAAGUCAAAUAUUUUAAAUAAAUUAGUGGUUGUGAUUAACUGACAGUGUAAAAAUUCUUUAUACGGUUAAUGUAUAUUAAUUAAUUUCAUAUAUAUAUAU
rnacentral:lncRNA from 1 species